rnacentral:rRNA from 1 species
UCUCCUACGGGAGGCAGCAGUGGGGAAUCUUGCACAAUGGAGGAAACUCUGAUGCAGCGAUGCCGCGUGAGUGAAGAAGGCCUUUGGGUUGUAAAGCUCUUUUGUAGGGGAAGAUAAUGACUGUACCCUAAGAAUAAGGUCCGGCUAACUUCGUGCCAGCAGCCGCGGUAAU